rnacentral:lncRNA from 1 species
GAGAAUUUGACUCAUGCAAUUUAACAGGCACAUGAGUCUCUGAUGUUAGUCGAUCUGGGAUCAUUGGCUACAGUCUGAAAAGUGAGCAAAAUGGUUCUCUCCUCUUCUCUGUCUGCAUUCAGUAACGCUAGCUGGUCUUCCGUAUACUGAAGGACACAAGAAGGAGCCAACAGACGUCAACAUCUGAUUUAGAGGAUGUCUCCCCAGCAUGGCUUGAUGAGUGGUGUAGGUCCGUGCCUGGCGUCCGAACCCAUGAACCCCCCAAGGGGGCCACCGAUGUGGAGCACACCAAACGCAACCAUGCCGAACCCAACCACUACACCACCUGGCUGGCCCCUGUAAAUGUAAUUUUUGUUCCCUUACCUGUGGUCUCUACUCCGAUUGCUCAUCAAUCUGAC